rnacentral:rRNA from 1 species
UACGAACUGUGCAAACGUUAUUCGGAUUCACUGGGCUUAAAGGGUGCGUAGGCGGCCAUGUAAGUAGGGUGUGAAAUCCCCCCGGCUUAACCGGGGAACUGCGCCCUAAACUGUGUGGCUUGAGUGAGAUAGGGGUGUGUGGAACUUCCGGUGGAGCGGUGAAAUGUGUUGAUAUCGGAAGGAACGCCGGUGGCGAAAGCGACACACUGGGUCUCAACUGACGCUGAGGCACGGAAAGCCAGGGGAGCGAACGGG